AUUGAACGCUGGCGGCAGGCUUAACACAUGCAAGUCGAGCGGAGAGAGGUAGCUUGCUACUGAUCUUAGCGGCGGACGGGUGAGUAAUGCUUAGGAAUCUGCCUAUUAGUGGGGGACAACAUUUCGAAAGGAAUGCUAAUACCGCAUACGUCCUACGGGAGAAAGCAGGGGAUCUUCGGACCUUGCGCUAAUAGAUGAGCCUAAGUCGGAUUAGCUAGUUGGUGGGGUAAAGGCUUACCAAGGCGACGAUCUGUAGCGGGUCUGAGAGGAUGAUCCGCCACACUGGGACUGAGACACGGCCCAGACUCCUACGGGAGGCAGCAGUGGGGAAUAUUGGACAAUGGGCGGAAGCCUGAUCCAGCCAUGCCGCGUGUGUGAAGAAGGCCUUACGGUUGUAAAGCACUUUAAGCGAGGAGGAGGCUACUUUAGUUAAUACCUAGAGAUAGUGGACGUUACUCGCAGAAUAAGCACCGGCUAACUCUGUGCCAGCCGCCGCAGUAACAC
rnacentral:rRNA from 1 species